GACCCGUCUUGAAACACGGACCAAGAAGUCUAUCUUGCGCGCAAGCAAUGGGAUGGCCGGACCGCUUCGGCGCCCGGCCUAUCGAUGAUCCCUACAGGCGAAGAGAACUCGAUUCUCACGGGAUUACGGGUCCGGCCACCGCACGGUGCCGUUCCCCUCCAUCCCAGGGUGUCCCGCCAGUGGGCCUCGCGGCCCCGUGGACAUACCCGCGAGUGCGCAGGAUGCGACCCGAAAGAUGGUGAACUAUGCCUGAUCAGGUUGAAGUCAGGGGAAACCCUGAUGGAGGACCGAAGCAAUUCUGACGUGCAAAUCGAUUGUCAGAGUUGGGCAUAGGGGCGAAAAACCCAU
rnacentral:rRNA from 1 species